GCGGAAGGAUCAUUACUGAACUGUCGACACGAGCUGUUGCUGGUCCUCAAUGAGGGGGCAUGUGCACGCUCUGUUUACACAUCCACUCACACCUGUGCACCCUCUGUAGUUCUACAUGGUCUGGGGGACACGCUGUCUCCCUUGUGUAGCUCUACGUCUUUACACAUACACCGUAGCAAAGUCUUAUGGAAUGUGCACCGCGUUUAACGCAAUACAAUACAACUUUCAGCAACGGAUCUCUUGGCUCUCGCAUCGAUGAAGAACGCAGCGAAAUGCGAUAAGUAAUGUGAAUUGCAGAAUUCAGUGAAUCAUCGAAUCUUUGAACGCACCUUGCGCCCCUUGGCUAUUCCGAGGGGCAUGCCUGUUUGAGUAUCAUGAACACCUCAACUCUCAUGGUUCGCCGUGAUGAGCUUGGACUUCUGGAGGUUUUGCUGGCCUUUGGUCGGCUCCUCUCAAACGGAUCAGCUUGCCAGUGUUUGGUGGCGUCAUGGGUGUGAUAAAUAUCUACGCUUGUGGCCGUCUGCCAGGUAACCUUCAGCGAUGGAGGUUCGCUGGAGCUCACAAAGGUCUUCCUCAGCGGAGACAGCUUUUUGAACGUUCGAUCUCAAAUCAGGUAGGACUACCCGCUGAACUUAAGCAUAUC
rnacentral:rRNA from 1 species